ensembl:lncRNA
CUAGCCCUGAUACCUGAUACUUUUUCAACAGCGCAGUGUUGGCUGUUACCAGUUCUGGCCAGGUCUCUCAGCACAUACAUCAGUGCAGUGUUUCUUGGGAAGAUUUUGUUUUCUUUUUGCCAUUUGUCAGGAGGUGUGGAUGUACUCCCCAGCCUUCUGUUGGCUGAGUGCUGAGAACGCAUAGUAUGAAGUACAUUUAUGUGCUUGUAUUAUCUUAAUGUAACCUAAAAAAGCACAACAGUAGAAUGAGAUUUCUGAGUUUUAAGACAGGGUAUCCUGUCUGUGUUGUAAGGAGAAUGUAUUCCCUGGGAAUCUGUAGCAGUCUGCUAUGCUCAGUAAAGUAUCUUCAAGCUUUCCUCUGUGAAACGAGCCUGUAUUCUUUGGAGAAGAAUGGGGAAGGAAAGUCUCAAAUAAAUGGAUGUAAUUGCCUUCAUUAAAAGCUGACUGAACAGACUUUAUCCUGUGGGGUCUACUCUCUCUCUCUGAGUCUGGCCCUCUGAACUGAGAUGCAAGGAGAGAUAUCAACAUCAUGUCUUCAGAGGAUGAAUAACUUCCCAAGAAGCUUACACUACAUUAAGACCCAUCUUCACAAUGAACAUUCCUAGGAGAAGAGAGUGCAGGUGGCUGGGCCUUACGAGGGAGCCUUUGAGAAGUUAUUUUGGUGAAAAGCUGGCUGCCACCCACUGUGCUUCUCUGCCAGCCGCCGUGCUCCUUCACUCUCACCACACCUCUCUCAUCCUCAAGAUGUUUGAAGAGCUUGUAUUCAAGGUGUGGAACAUCUGUGUGAUCCAGCCUGUAAAAUACCAUAGUGGAAGAUAUUUUUUGACUGCUUCCUUGCACAUGGGCAAGCACUGCUGUACUCCCUGCUGUCCGCCCAGUGCCUCCACAGAGCCCUCCGAGCUCUGCAAUAUGGAUGCGUGCAUACAAGGCCCCACUAGAGACAACCCGCACAUGCUGAUACCAGCCCUCACCUUGAAAAACUGCAUCUCUGGAGUGAAAGGAAGGAAGAAAAUAAGACUGAAGGCAAUAGAGUUACACUGAAGAUGGCUUUGGCCCAAGGGUUUAUGCAAAACAGAUUUGUGAUGUUGCAAAUUUGUAUUUUUCCUUUCUGUUUCAAAAUGGGAAAGAGCAGAAACAGUUGAUACUGUCAUGAAAUUUCAAGACUGAAACACAAAGUAUUGGAAACUUGAGUGUCCUUAAUAGUGCUAAUCCAAGCCUGCUGGACCUGUGGACCAUUUUUGCAAUCAAAUGCUUAAGAAAUGCAGUGCAGUGAACUGAAUACUAUAAUUCUAACAGGAAAUUUCUCACUAAAAUCAGUGAGAAUUUUGUCUAUGUGAGGCUUACAAGAUUGGUUAGUACUUGAAGAACAACUUUUCUUCUUCCAUAAAGAUCCUCGCUGAUGGGUUCCUAUACUUCACCAGCUUCUCUUCUUUUCCUCUGUCAGAUUACAACAGAGGAUGGCAUGCUCUGAGUGCAGCUCCAAUACGUGGCACGUGGCUGUAUCUUUUGUUCUUAAAUUACAUGACUCUUGAGACAAGAAAACCUGCCAGAAAUCAGCCUUUGGAUGAGGAAGGCCAGGUCCCAGCUGAACCAAGCAGCACAAGUAGGAACUAUACCAAAGAAGUGGGCUCACCCAGAGCAUUCAUUGAAGUGGUGCAGAGCAUUGGGCACAUGCUGGAUCUUCCACAAAGCUUGGAGAGCUGGGCAGCCUCCAUUCCUAUCAACAUCUUCCUCACCUUUCCUCCUGUGAAGAGACAAGGAACCACCAACACAACUGCAGAACCCCAUGGACUCCCGUAUCUGCACAAGGAGGAGACUGUGUGACCCUGAUCUUGGCCAGCAUAGCACAAGGCUCCCCAGCAGUCACCUGCUUGAACCUAACACAUCACGGUCAGCUUCUAGUGAUAAUACAGCAUUCCUUAAUUUUGAAAGCAAUUAUGGGUCUGAGUUCAGGUUUUUUUUUCCCCAGAUUAAAGUCAAUAAAACACUCGGACAUCCGGAUUCCAAUCACAUGCAUAUUACUAACUGUGAUAUUUGUAUCGCUGAUCCAGAAGCCAAUCACAACACUAACUCACUCUAUUGCUAAAAUAAGGAUAGCUUCCUCAUAAGCCAAAAUAACAGCCUGUUAUCCCUUCCAAAGCCACCGUUUUUCUGGCCUCGCAGGAACAAAGGAACAGGAGGUAGGCAAUACUCUUAUGGGGAAAGUAAACUAUCCCUCGCACAAGAAGCUUUUAAACCUAAGCACAUGUACUUGACAUACUCAUUUUCUGAAACUCUAUAUUUUCAUGUAUCCCUCCUCUUAUGACAUACCUCUUACAGUAUGUUGGAAUCAGUCCUGUCUUAUCAUCAUUGCCAUGGUUACCUUAUCAUCAUUACAGUAUAUAUGUGUUGCUAUAAUACUACUGUGGAUGUCAUAUCAAAAUUCCCUAAAGCAAAAUGAUCCCAGAACUUACUCUGUACACAUCUCAGGUUGCUAAGCAUUGAUAGCUUUAUUAUAUGUUUCCCAGCUAAAACAAAGUUAGCUUGUAUGCCUCUGCUGACAUACAGCUCUUUGUCCUUUCUGGUAGAAGGCAAAUUAUUCCAUGUAUCAUCUUCACUGUAAGCUACUUCCUUACAUCAAAUAAAAAUUCCACUCUUGACUGGAUAUCUCAGCAACCUGAUUUUCCUUUACUUAUAUUACUGUAUUACUAAAAUUCACAAGAAUGUUGAUACUGGAGGCAAGGAGCAUGUUAGUCAGUCAAGUUAAGCACUGUGAUAUUGCAGAUACAGAGGUCAUGAUACGAAGAUGUGGCACAGCUCAAAACCCAGGGCAGAGUAUAUACGGGCUUGGGAUAAAGAAAACCCUUUGCUAGGGUUGUGUGGCUGUGGGAUGAUCUUUCAGUGUAGAGUGGAGGAGCACAGAUGUUAACAUCUGGUUUUAAUCCAAAAUCUGUAUUACCCUCCAAUGUGCGCUGGGGACUAUGAAUGCAAAACUCUUAACAUAAGCAGAAUUCCUUAUGUGUAAUAAGGAUUUUGGUAAUGCGUUUGGCUCUAUGUGGAGGAUGCACAAGCCUUGUAUGUCACAGACUAGAUCUUGCCACAUGCUUCCACUCCUCUCUGGAUAGACUCACUCAUAGGAUGGAUUGCCCCUGCUUUUUUCAUGGCACUUUCCCACUGACGAGGUGUCUGGGGAAGCUGGGUACAGAUAUAACUUAAAUAUCUUUUACCUUCGGUGACUGAAUGCUCAUUCUUCUGAAAGACAAAAGCAAAGCCUUGACUGGAGAAGAGAAUGUGUACACACGUAAUUGUGCAUCUGUCUAUGUAACCAUGUUUUAUGUAUGGAAUCGCAAGAAAACAUGUCUAACUCAAAUGAUGAUUGAACUGAUACUCAACUAAGUUCUAACUACCAGAUUUUCCAUCGUGUUCAUCCUUAUAACAGCUCCUUACUACAUUCUCAAGCAGAGGCUUUGAAUAUGAGGCUAAGAGUACAGUGGAGUGAAGAAAGUGAUUCAUUACUGGGAAUAAAAAACCCAGUCUUCAUGGAUGAUACAUUGCCUAUAUACAUGAUUACAGGUUUAGAAACAAGAGGUUACCUACUGUUCCACGGCUGUAAUCAAAUAUUACCAGACUGAAGAAAAGCAAAUACACUCAAGAUUUUCAGGAGAAUUCUCAUGAUUAAGAAGAGUAAAAUCUUAAAUAAACAGAGGUAAAUAACAGAACAUUUGUGAUAGAGGAUAUGAUGGUAAUUGCAGCUGGGAAACUUUUCUUCUUUUCUUCUUAAGCUAAAGAUGACUGGGAAUUUUUUUUGGUAACUACAGGAGCAGUUAACUGGCCAUUUUUUAUGAGGAAAUGGAAACAAGGAUUCAAGGCCAUCGUGAAGACUAUGUAAGGUAAAACCUCUCCUCGUGUUCAAAUCAUAUGAUACUACCCAGAACUGAGAGGUAUCCUGUCAUCCCACUAUGCCUGCAUUCAUGGGGCGUGGAAAAAAGAGAUGAUUAUGUGGCAAAAUUGUCGUAGCACUAUAUGGGCUCUCUGGGGCAAGCUGGGGCAGCAGUGGGGGUGAGUGUGACAGGGCAGAUUUCCCCAUCAGCAGCAACUCUCCAUUCAUAAAAGCCCGAGUUUCUCAGGUGACACCUAUUUUCCUUUCUUUAGCCGUAGCAGACAGAUGUGCAGAUUGUGUGCUUAUGCCAAACAGUAUUCAAGGGUCCAUGCUGUCUGGAAAACUGCAUUCACACUGAAGCCAUAUUGUUCCCUCCCUGAAUUACAAGCUGGAUUCCCCAGCUGGUGAGCUGCUUUGCUGCAGGCUUGCGUAGGCCUGUGAGCCAACUUGGAUAAUAGCAGAGCUAUAACCAGGACUGUGAUCUCAGACCCUGACCCAGCGUGAAUUCUAAGCAUCGUUCCUCUUUCCUUAGUGUUAUACACUCAAUCUGCUGCUGCUUGGCAGGCUCUUAAAUCACAGUUCUCACACCCGAAUAGGCCAACUUCUGGCAGCCACUGCUGCACAAAUGGUAGCAUUGGAGAAGAAAAUCCUUACUACCUGAGUGUUUGAAGGCCUGAUGUGGAAAUAUCUGGAAGAACUGAACUUCUCCAUGAGCACUACUGAUUUCAUUAUUAUUUUUUAAUUCAUAUUUGUUGAAAACUAAUUCAGCCAGGGCAUUGGUGGCCUUUUUUGGUUGGUUGGUUGGUUGGUUUGGUUUGGUUUUUUGUUGUUUUGUUUUGUUUUAUUUGUUUUUUGCCACAAGCGUGCAUUGCUGGCUCCUUGUCAGUGUGGUGUGCACCAGAACCCUCAUGUCCUUCUAAGCAGAAUUACCUUCCAGUUAGUUGGAGCACAGCAUGUAGUGGCUCCCGGGGAUGUCCCUGCCCCAGGCCAGGACUUUGGUUUUCCCCUUGUUCCAGACGUUCUUCUCACCCCAUUUCUACACCCUGGGGAGGUUCUUCUGGAUGGCAGUACAGCCCUCUUCUCUAUGAGUACUGAGCACAUCAUUCAGCUGGUUUUCAAUCCACUUCUUCAACUUGAUGUAGUUUGUAAUUCCUGUUGGUAGCCACGUGACAGAGUCUGUGCUGCUCGCUGUUGUUGUGCAAGUCUCCACCCUUUUCCAACCAGGUCCAGACAGAGUGAGUUAGAUUGGUGAGUAACAUGCAGUCUGUCCUGGCUUCCUGGAAAAUAAGGUUUGUAACCUGAAUUAAAGAGCUCUGGUGAAUCGCACAACAUAGUAACCGAGUUAAAUGCAAAUUACAUCAACAUUUAUGAAGUUUCAAAAAUGCAAGUGCUCUUAUAAAUGAACAGGAAUAGAAGUAAACUCAUUUUCCAGGUGUGCUAUUGGGCUUCAUCUGCAUCCUACUGUUUUGUACUAUCUGUGUAACAGGAUACAAAGGUUUACCCAGCUCUCAGUGGCACAAAGACAGGAAAGAGAGGCAGGUUCCCCAGUGGGAUUGGAGCCAGAUCCAGCCAUGAAAGCCCCUCCAGGAUGGGCUAUCAAAUAGAUGUGGAGAUCUUACACAACCAACCCAUUCCCAAUACAGAGAAAAUGGUUUCCGCAUCAUUCCUGAAAGUAACUUAAGAGGGCUCAGUUUUUUACUCUGUAACAUGCUCUGGAAUACCUUUUUGUGAUAUAUUUGAGCUCAUUUGUUAAAAUAAAGUACUUCAAAUACCGUAAAAUACUAAAUGCUUAGGCUGAGUCUCAUCUCUGUUCUUCCAUUCUAUAGUAUCAGGAACAUGGCUGCAGGAAAUCAGAAUGGCAAUGUGCAGCGCCAGCAUCAACAAGAAGCAGAAAUAUCUACAUGUCAAAAAUUAUGGACGUUUCUAAAGAAGUCACUGAGCUAAAGACUUCUAAAGAAGUCACAUCCUGUCAUGCCAGAUGUGUCAAACCUUCAUGUUUCAGCGCUGAUCAAUUUACUGUCUUCUCAUGACGUUGUCUUCAUUAUUUUAGCAUGAGUUUUACAUAUCAGCAUAUAAAUUAUCAUUGUAUAUCUUUGGAGACAAAGAGAAACGCAUUUUUUGACGAUAGGAUUUUAAAUAUCUUGAAUGUAUUUCCAUACUGAAUCAGGAAAGUGUUCCUCAUAUCUAACUCUGGUUUUUCAUUGGCUUUUAGAUACUGUGUGCAUACAUUACGUCAUAUUUAUAGUAGUAUAUGUCUGUACAUAAACUUACACAUACGCAGAAAAAAAAAUCAAAUCGAGAUGUCAUUUAUACUCUCAAUGACCAAGCUGGGGAACAAAAUUUUGCCUCAUCACACAUCUUUCUACUUCAGUGAAUUAUUUUUAUUGAUGUCACAAGUCUUAAUUUUAAAUCCAGUUUUGAUGAAAAAAGUAGCUGAUCAUCUGCCCUGUUAUUAUACAAAAUACAUUUAUAUCGAGUGGUAGGAAAUAUAAUUUGUAGAAUGAUUAAUUACAUAAUGAUUAUAGUGGAGAAAUAUAUUCUCUAACAAAAUUUGUUAAAUGGAGGAAUUUAAUAUGAAAUAGUAGAUUUCCAAAUUUAUACAAAUAACACCAGAUGGUGAGUAGCUAGUUUUAAUUAAAUUAAGUUUGAUAAUUAUAGCUGAUUAAUUUUUAGGUUUGACUCAGAUUAGAAAGAAUGCACUAUUUUCCUGUAGAUUUAUUUUUAGCUCCCUUGCAAGGCUGUGAAUAUCAGUGUGUGCUGAGGUCCGGCCAGGUCCCACAGCUGCCAGCUCGCAGCAUCUCUGUGGGACCCAGCGGUACUCCUGCAGCUGGGAGGAUGCUCGGGCCAGGACCACCUGAUGGAAGUCAGAAGUAGUUUUGCCAAUGGAAGAAGGAGGAAGUUUCUGCCGCAGGACCAAAAUAUGUUUUCACAACCCAAUCUACUGACUCAGCUGCUUUGAACAAAGAGAAGAGCUCAACGUGACCUCUUUGCAUAUGCACACAAUUGCACAUGCUGCAGCUUGUGUCCUGGGACAUCUUCUCAGGGAGGAACAUGUAAAGGCUGAAGCCUGGUAGCAAAGAGUCCCAGAGCUUGUCCCCCACUCUAGCACACUCGGUCUCAUCACUGCUUUCCAUAAGAUCAUCUGACCUGGUCCCACAGUUGAUCUGACCAGGUCCCAGUGGUUCCACUGAACCACAGAAAUAUGCUUAAAGCCACGAAUGUGUACAAGCUCUUUUCAGACUGUGGAAAGAGACCAAAUCUUACUCUGCAGGACCUACAACCUGAUGCUCCGUGCUCACCGCUCUGUGGGAAUCACCUCCCACCUUUGGAUCAAGUGAAGUGUAAUGUGGACAAAUCAGAAUCCACACAGGCCUUUCUCACUGAUACAGGCUUUGCAGUUUCAGCUACAAGACCAAGUGAACAUUUUCAUCAUUUUUUUGGGCUACAUCUGCAAAAUGGGUGCUGCCUUCAGAGAUGUCUGGGAAGGAUCAGUUUCUCCCUAGCAGCAAGAGGCUGAAUGUAAUGUUUGUCUGAGAGUAACUGUGAGACAUUUUCUGAUGAUCAGGGAAGGACUCAUUCAGCAUGCUUGAGCUUGUGGUGUGCUUCUCAACUGCUUGGGCUGUUAACCUGUCUCCUGGUGCCUGUACACCAUAAAAAGAAGUAGGGACUGAAAAGAUUUGAUUCAUUGUCUCAUCACAGCACAAAAGUACACUGAAUAUUGUAAUUAAAAUUAAAUAUUGUAAUUAUAAUUGAACAUUACAAUUUAAAAAUUGAAUAUUGAAUUAAACAGAGUUUUAAGUAGAUGCCUACAACUGCUCUAAGCUAUCAGGUGCUUCUGACUUCCAGCAAAUAACACGUUAGGCUACAAGAAGCCAGUCUGAGAGCAUACUCUCCAUUCUGGAUGAUAUGAAACUUAAAAGAUGCCUUAAAUAAUUUCUCACUGCAGAGCUUUCUCAGAGCCAGCACUUGGACUGGCACUCAGGCAAGGUGGUGCUGUCCUGCCUCCUCCCUCUCAAGUCCCUUCUCUUUUAUCUCAGUUUUCUCUCUGCAGGGUUCUUCUUCCAUUAUCUGCCUAGUGCAAAUCCAGUCUCCUCCUCUGCUUUCUUUUUUGUGUGCGUGUGCUGAAAAGUGGCCUCCCUGAAUUUGUGUUAUAUUGAUUAUGUAAAUCAGCGCUUCUCCUCUAGAUUGCUUUUUCUUUGUGAACUGGGAGUAUAAUUUGCAGUCUUCUACCUGAUAAUUGUGAGUAUAAUUUGAGCUGUCUCUUUGUGGAGUCAUCAGUGACUGUUUUAAUUUCCAUAUGUGAGCGGUGCUAUUUUUCUUUAACUUUUUUUUUCCUUAAUCCUGCCUCUUUCUGAACUAAUGGAUUGAUUCUGCUGCUCAUAAUAGCAUCACCUGAAGUGUAUUUUGGAAUUUCUGCUGCUGCUGAGAUUGAAAUUUAUCUACAGUGUGACACAUUUCUCAACAUUUUCAGAAAAGACAUAAUCAUGUAACUAUCAACCUGACAAUAAAAUUGUCUAUCUGUAAUGGAAAAUGGAG